CUUGAAACACGGACCAAGGAGUCUAGCAUGUGCGCGAGUCAUUGGGAAUUACUAAACCUAAAGGCGCAAUGAAAGUGAAGGUCCGCCUCGCGCGGACCAAGGGAAGAUGGGCGCGUCCGGUGAUUACCACGGCCGCCCCGCACUCCCGGGGCGUCUCGUUCUCAUCGCGAGAAGAGGCGCACCAAGAGCGUACACGCUGGGACCCGAAAGAUGGUGAACUAUGCCUGGUCAGGACGAAGUCAGGGGAAACCCUGAUGGAGGUCCGUAGCGAUUCUGACGUGCAAAUCGAUCGUCGGAACUGGGUAUAGGGGCGAAAGACUAAUCGAACCAUCUAGUAGCUGGUUCCCUCCGAAGUUUCCCUCAGGAUAGCUGGCGCUCGUCGCAUACGAGUCUCAUCCGGUAAAGCGAAUGAUUAGAGGCAUUGGGGUCGAAACGGCCUCAACCUAUUCUCAAACUUUAAAUGGGUGAGAUCUCCGGCUUGCUCAAAUACUUUUUGUAUGAAGCCGCGAGAAACGGAUCAGAGUGCCAAGUGGGCCAUUUUUGGUAAGCAGAACUGGCGCUGUGGGAUGAACCAAACGCCGAGUUAAAGCGCCUAAAUCGACGCUUAUGGGAUACCAUGAAAGGCGUUGGUAACUUAAGACAGCAGGACGGUGGCCAUGGAAGUCGGAAUCCGCUAA
rnacentral:rRNA from 1 species